UACGUAGGGUGCAAGCGUUGUCCGGAAUUAUUGGGCGUAAAGCGCGCGCAGGCGGUUUCUUAAGUCUGAUGUGAAAGCCCCCGGCUCAACCGGGGAGGGUCAUUGGAAACUGGGAAACUUGAGUGCAGAAGAGGAAAGUGGAAUUCCAAGUGUAGCGGUGAAAUGCGUAGAGAUUUGGAGGAACACCAGUGGCGAAGGCGACUUUCUGGUCUGUAACUGACGCUGAGGCGCGAAAGCGUGGGGAGCAAACAGG
rnacentral:rRNA from 1 species